rnacentral:rRNA from 1 species
UAUACUCUCCUCUUGUGAGACUACCCCCUGAAUUUAAACAUAUUAAUAAAGGGAGGAAAAAAAACUAUAUAUGAUUCCCCUAUAAGAGGGGAGAGAAAAGGGAAAAGACCACC